AUCAGGGGGAAUAGCCUCCUUAGCACUAGCAUCAGUAGCUCCCAUAUUGUGGGCAAAGCUCUCCCUCCAAUAAAUAUUUAAGCAAUUUCUAUUAAAAAAAGGAGAGCUUCAACAGGAGACACCAAGAAAGAUCCUGAUCUAGAUUCCUUAAAUCCCAGUGUUUGGGGCACUCUCCUAGGAAGUGAGAGAACAGCUUUCAAAUCUCUAUUGUAAAUCAGCAGAAGAAGAGAGAUUUGAACAAGGAUCAGCAACUUCUUAGAUCAGCCCACAAGGGGGAUUGAAACUCCAGCCCCAGGAAAGAGAACCUGAUGUGUUUGGUUUAAGGGAAAGACUACAGAGGAACCCAGCCCAAAGAAAUGGUCUUGAAAAGGAGACUACCACAGACGGUGCUGGGGGGAUGCAGGAUGAGAGGAGACAGUCUUGACAGAGAACAGCUGGAAAUGUUUAUCUGGAAGGGACUCUGCCUAGGAACUGGCUGAGGCAUUGCCUGCUGUGUUCCUGUUACUCAGCCUAUGGUCUGCAGGCUGGAUCUGGCCUGUGGCAUUGGAGGGGGAAGUGAAGAUGGGAAAUCAGCCACAAGCAACCUGGCCCAGUGCAUUCCCGCUUCUCCCCUGCACCAUGCUGCUCAUUCCCUCCCUGAAUUACAGGUUGUAGCUACAUCGAGUCAGCAGUUAAGGCUUACCAAAUACCCUGAUGGCUAAAAACUGCAAGCAAUAACCCCCCCUGAAGAUUGCAGACCGCAAAGCCAGAACAUCGUGUCAUACCAAUCCCAGCCUGCCAACAGGACAAGGAUGAUGGCCUUUGUGUCUGACUCAGCAGAAUCCAUAGGCUUGUAUGGACAGCUAUCACUAUAAAGAAUGAACACAAAGAAAAGGCUUUGGGUCUUUCCACCUGCAAGAAAGAGUUUUGGGUGUGUCCAACAAGACCUGACUCCAUCCCUCGUGGUCAGUCUGGCCAGCCACCAGACUGGCCUGAGUGACUUUAGAACUUGGUAACACCUUAAACUUUGGAGGACUGUCUAACUAUUGUGUGUUUGUGCUUAUUUCUUUUGUAUGAAUG